GACGAACGCUGGCGGCGUGCUUAACACAUGCAAGUCGAACGGAAAGGCCCUGCUUGCUGGGUGCUCGAGUGGCGAACGGGUGAGUAACACGUGGGUGAUCUGCCCCUUACUUUGGGAUAAGCCUGGGAAACUGGGUCUAAUACUGGAUAGGACCAUGCUGUAGGUGGUGUGGUGGAAAGAUUAGUUUCGGUAAGGGAUGAGCUCGCGGCCUAUCAGCUUGUUGGUGGGGUAAUGGCCUACCAAGACGUCGACGGGUAGCCGGCCUGAGAGGGUGGACGGCCACAUUGGGACUGAGAUGCGGCGCAGACUCCUACGGGAGGCAGCAGUGGGGAAUAGUGCACAAUGGGCGCAAGCCGGAUGCAGCGACGCCGCGUGGGGGAUGACGGCCUUCGGGUUGUAAACUCCUUUCAGCCAUGACGAAGCCCUUGUGGUGACGGUAGUGGUAGAAGAAGCACCGGCUAACUACGUG
rnacentral:rRNA from 1 species